GACGGAGGAUGCAAGUGUUAUCCGGAAUCACUGGGCGUAAAGCGUCUGUAGGUGGUUCGAAAAGUCCACUGUUAAAAAUUGAGGCUUAACUUCAAAGAUGCCGUGGAAACUUUCAAACUAGAGUAUGGUAGGGGUAGAGGGAAUUUCCAGUGGAGCGGUGAAAUGCGUAGAUAUUGGAAAGAACACCAACGGCGAAAGCACUCUGCUGGGCCGACACUGACACUGAGAGACGAAAGCUAGGGGAGCGAAUGGG
rnacentral:rRNA from 1 species